rnacentral:rRNA from 1 species
UACGUAGGGUGCAAGCGUUAAUCGGAAUUACUGGGCGUAAAGCGUGCGCAGGCGGUUUUGUAAGACAGGUGUGAAAUCCCCGGGCUUAACCUGGGAACUGCAUUUGUGACUGCACAGCUGGAGUGCGGCAGAGGGGGAUGGAAUUCCGCGUGUAGCAGUGAAAUGCGUAGAUAUGCGGAGGAACACCGAUGGCGAAGGCAAUCCCCUGGGCCUGCACUGACGCUCAUGCACGAAAGCGUGGGGAGCAAACAGG